ensembl:misc_RNA Metazoa_SRP Metazoan signal recognition particle RNA
UCCCAAAGUGCUGGGAUUACAGGCUUGAGCCACCGUGCCUGGCCGGGGUGUAGUGUCUUAUGCUGAUCUGAUGACCACACUAACUUCAGCAUCAAUAUGGUGACCUCCCAGGAGCGGGGGGUUGCCUAAGGAGGGGUGAACUGGCCCAGGUCAGAAACGGAGCAGGUCAAAACUCCAGGGCUGAUCACUAGUGGGAUCAAGCCUGUAAAUAGCCACUGCACUCCAGCCUGGGCAACAUAGUGAGACCCUGUUUC